rnacentral:rRNA from 1 species
GACGAACGCUGGCGGCGUGCUUAACACAUGCAAGUCGAACGGAAAGGCCCUGCUUUUGUUGGGUGCUCGAGUGGCGAACGGGUGAGUAACACGUGAGUAACCUGCCCUUGACUUUGUGAUAUCUUCAGGAAACUGGGGCUAAUACCGGAUAGGAGCUCCUGCUGCAUGGUGGGGGUUGGAAAGUUUCGGCGGUUGGGGAUGGUCUCGCGGCUUAUCAGCUUGUUGGUGGGGUUGUUGCUUACCAAGGCUUUGACGGGUAGCCGGCCUGAGAGGGUGACCGGAGACAUGGGGACUGAGGUACGGCGCAGACUGAGACCGGACGCAGCAGGGGGGAGUAUUGCACAAUGGGGGGACGCCUGAUACAAAAGCGAAGCGUGCGGAAUAACGUCUUACGGGUGAUAAACAGCUUUCGCCUUUGACAAAGCGGGCGUGACGGUAAUGGGUAAAGAAGCACCGGCUAACUACGUG